GACGGAGGUGAGGGACCGGAGAAGCGUCACUUGCCAGCGCGACAUGGCGAAACUACUGGCCGUCUACCUGCUGCUGCUGGUUGCUGCCCUGCUCUGUGAACAGGCCCUCGCCUGCACGCCGGGCACCCGGAAAUACGACGGCUGCAACUGGUGCAGGUGUUCCAGUGGCGGAGCCUGGACGUGCACGCUCCGAUACUGUCCUCCCUCCAGGGGUGGCGGUGGGGGUACUAUAUUGGUGUGACCUCUAUGUGAUGCCUAGGUCAGCUGCCCAUGGAGCCUUACUGAGCAGUGAUCUACUCCUUCAAUAGCGUUAAAAUUUUGAUGUAGACCUAACGAAUGGCUACAAAUAAAAUUUGAUAUACUCAA